rnacentral:tRNA from 1 species
GGGCCAUUAGCUCAGUUGGUUAGAGCCACCGGCUCAUAACCGGUCGGUCUCAGGUUCGAGUCCUGAAUGGCCCACCA